UACAGAGGGGGCAAGCGUUGUUCGGAAUUACUGGGCGUAAAGGGCCAGUAGGCGGCCAACUAAGUCGGAUGUGAAAUCCCCAGGCUUAACCUGGGAACUGCAUCCGAUACUGGAUGGCUUGAAUUCGGGAGAGGGAUGCAGAAUUCCAGGUGUAGCGGUGAAAUUCGUAGAUAUCGGGAGGAACACCAGUGGCGAAGGCGGCGACCUGGACGGAUACUGACGCUGAGGUGCGAAAGCGUGGGGAGCAAACAGG
rnacentral:rRNA from 1 species